rnacentral:rRNA from 1 species
GCCUACGGGGGGCAGCAGUAGGGAAUAUUGCUCAAUGGGGGAAACCCUGGAGCAGCAACGCCGCGUGGAGGAUGAAGGUUUUCGGAUUGUAAACUCCUUUUGUUAGAGAAGAUAUUGACGGUAUCUAACGAAUAAGCACCGGCUAACUCCGUGCCAGCAGCCGCGGUAAUACGGAGGGUGCAAGCGUUACUCGGAAUCACUGGGCGUAAAGAGCGCGUAGGCGGGAUAGCAAGUCAGAUGUGAAAUCCUAUGGCUUAACCAUAGAACUGCAUUUGAAACUGUUAUUCUAGAGUAUGGGAGAGGUA